rnacentral:rRNA from 2 species
CCCUUAGGAGAGUCUGACGGAGCACGCCGCGUGAGUGAUGAAGGCUUUCGGGUCGUAAAACUCUGUUGUUAGGGAAGAACAAGUACAAGAGUAACUGCUUGUACCUUGACGGUACCUAACCAGAAAGCCACGGCUAACUACGUGCCAGCAGCCGCGGUAAUACGUAGGUGGCAAGCGUUAUCCGGAAUUAUUGGGCGUAAAGCGCGCGCAGGCGGUUUCUUAAGUCUGAUGUGAAAGCCCACGGCUCAACCGUGGAGGGUCAUUGGAAACUGGGGAACUUGAGUGCAGAAGAGAAAAGCGGAAUUCCACGUGUAGCGGUGAAAUGCGUAGAGAUGUGGAGGAACACCAGUGGCGAAGGCGGCUUUUUGGUCUGUAACUGACGCUGAGGCGCGAAAGCGUGGGGAGCAAACAGGAUUAGAUACCCUGGUAGUCCACGCCGUAAACGAUGAGUGCUAAGUGUUAGAGGGUUUCCGCCCUUUAGUGCUGCAGCUAACGCAUUAAGCACUC